UACGUAGGGGGCCAGCGUUGCUCGGAAUUACUGGGCGUAAAGGGUCCGUAGGCGGUGUGGCAAGUCGGGAGUGAAAUCUCUGGGCUUAACUCAGAGGCUGCUUCCGAAACUGCCGUGCUAGAGUGUGAGAGAGGCGAGUGGAAUUGCGGGUGUAGCGGUGAAAUGCGUAGAUAUCCGCAGGAACAUCCGAGGCGAAAGCGGCUCGCUGGAUCACAACUGACGCUGAGGGACGAAAGCUAGGGGAGCAAACAGG
rnacentral:rRNA from 2 species